GACGAACGCUGGCGGCGUGCCUAAUACAUGCAAGUAGAACGCACAGUUUAUACCGUAGCUUGCUACACCAUAGACUGUGAGUUGCGAACGGGUGAGUAACGCGUAGGUAACCUGCCUGGUAGCGGGGGAUAACUAUUGGAAACGAUAGCUAAUACCGCAUAAUAUUAAUUAUUGCAUGGUAAUUAAUUGAAAGGUGCAAUUGCACCACUACCAGAUGGACCUGCGUUGUAUUAGCUAGUAGGUGAGGUAACGGCUCACCUAGGCGACGAUACAUAGCCGACCUGAGAGGGUGAUCGGCCACACUGGGACUGAGACACGGCCCAGACUCCUACGGGAGGCAGCAGUAGGGAAUCUUCGGCAAUGGACGAAAGUCUGACCGAGCAACGCCGCGUGAGUGAAGAAGGUUUUCGGAUCGUAAAGCUCUGUUGUAAGAGAAGAACGGGUGUGAGAGUGGAAAGUUCACACUGUGACGGUAGCUUACCAGAAAGAGACGGCUAACUACGUG
rnacentral:rRNA from 1 species